UGUCCUACGGGAGGCAGCAGUGGGGAAUAUUGGGCAAUGGGCGAAAGCCUGACCCAGCAACGCCGCGUGAAGGAAGAAGGUCUUCGGAUCGUAAACUUCUAUCCUUGGUGAAGAUAAUGACGGUAGCCGAGAAGGAAGCCCCGGCUAACUACGUGCCAGCAGCCGCGGUAAUACGUAGGGGGCAAGCGUUGUCCGGAAUGAUUGGGCGUAAAGGGCGCGUAGGCGGCCUGGUAAGUCUGGAGUGAAAGUCCUGCUUUUAAGGUGGGAAUUGCUUUGGAUACUGUCGGGCUUGAGUGCAGGAGAGGUAAGUGGAAUUCCCGGUGUAGCGGUGAAAUGCGUAGAGAUCGGGAGGAACACCAGUGGCGAAGGCGACUUACUGGACUGUAACUGACGCUGAGGCGCGAAAGUGUGGGGAGCAAACAGGAUUAGAUACCCUAGUAGUCA
rnacentral:rRNA from 2 species